rnacentral:rRNA from 1 species
CCUACGGGAGGCCGCAGUGGGGUAUAUUGCACAAUGGGCGAGAGCCUGAUGCAGCAAAGCCGCGUGAGCGAUGAAGGCCUUCGGGUCGUAAAGCUCUGUCCUCAAGGAAGAUCAUGACGGUACUUGAGGAGGAAGCCCCGGCUAACUACGUGCCAGCAGCCGCGGUAAUACGUAGGGGGCUAGCGUUAUCCGGAAUUACUGGGCGUAAGGGGUGCGUAGGUGGUUUCUUCAGUCAGAGGUGAAAGGCUACGGCUCAACCGUAGUAAGCCUUUGAAACUGGGGAACUUGAGUGCAGGAGAGGAGAGCGGAAUUCCUAGUGUAGCGGUGAAAUGCGUAGAUAUUAGGAGGAACACCAGUUGCGAAGGCGGCUCUCUGGACUGUAACUGACACUGAGGCACGAAAGCGUGGGGAGCAAACAGGAUUAGAUACCCUGGUAGUC